rnacentral:rRNA from 1 species
UGGGGAAUAUUGCACAAUGGACGGAAGUUUGAUGCAGCGACGCCGCGUGGAGGGUGUAGGCCUUCGGGUUGUGAACUCCUUUUUUUCGCGAAAAAGGCACAGUUUUGGCUGUGUUGAUGGUAGUGGGGGAAGAAGCGCCGGCUAACUACGUGCCAGCAGCCGCGGUAAUACGUAGGGCGCGAGCGUUAAUCGGAAUUACUGGGCGUAAAGCGCACGUAGGCUGCUUUGUAAGUCAGGGGUGAAGUCCCACGGCUCAACCGUGGAACUGCCUUUGAUACUGCUUAGCUUGAAUCCGGGAGAGGGUGGCGGAAUUCCAGGUGUAGGAGUGAAAUCCGUAGAUAUCUGGAGGAACAUCAGUGGCGAAGGCGGCCACCUGGACCGGUAUUGACGCUGAGGUGCGAAAGCGUGGGGAGCAAACAGG